CGGGGGGGGCAAGCGUUGUUCGGAAUUACUGGGCGUAAAGGGCUCGUAGGUGGCCAACUCAGUCGGACGUGAAAUCCCUCGGCUUAACCGGGGAACUGCGUCCGAUACUGGAUGGCUUGAGAUCGGGAGAGGGAUGCGGAAUUCCAGGUGUAGCGGUGAAAUGCGUAGAUAUCUGGAGGAACACCGGUGGCGAAGGCGGCAUCCUGGACCGACACUGACACUGAGGAGCGAAAGCCAGGGGAGCAAACGGGAUUAGAUACCCCGGUAGUCCUGGCCCUAAACGAUGAAUGCUUGGUGUGACGGGUAUCGAUCCCUGUCGUGCCGAAGCUAACGCAUUAAGCAUUCCGCCUGGGGAGUACGGUCGCAAGGCUG
rnacentral:rRNA from 1 species